rnacentral:siRNA from 1 species
CUAGCCCUUGACUUUAAAGCCUA